rfam:Ciona savignyi cont_32120, whole genome shotgun sequence.
GACGAGGUGGCCGAGUGGUUAAGGCGAUGGACUGCUAAUCCAUUGUGCUCUGCACGCGUGGGUCUUGAAUCCCAACCUCGUCG